AUCACUUCUUGACCUUUGGCUAAGAUUGUGUGUAGUAUAUGUUCUUGCCAGUUUAAUAUCUGAUAUGUUCUCUAUCCAAGGGCAAUAUAUUAUAUGGAUUUUUAGAGCAGGGAGAUGGAAUAGGAGCUUGCUCCGUCCACUUCAUGCAUCAACCUGGUAUUGUAGUGCCUCCAGGAACCGUGCACCAAAA